AUUGAACGCUGGCGGCAGGCCUAACACAUGCAAGUCGAGCGGAUGACGGGAGCUUGCUCCUUGAUUCAGCGGCGGACGGGUGAGUAAUGCCUAGGAAUCUGCCUGGUAGUGGGGGACAACGUUUCGAAAGGAACGCUAAUACCGCAUACGUCCUACGGGAGAAAGCAGGGGACCUUCGGGCCUUGCGCUAUCAGAUGAGCCUAGGUCGGAUUAGCUAGUUGGUGAGGUAAUGGAUCACCAAGGCGACGAUCCGUAACUGGUCUGAGAGGAUGAUCAGUCACACUGGAACUGAGACACGGUCCAGACUCCUACGGGAGGCAGCAGUGGGGAAUAUUGGACAAUGGGCGAAAGCCUGAUCCAGCCAUGCCGCGUGUGUGAAGAAGGUCUUCGGAUUGUAAAGCACUUUAAGUUGGGAGGAAGGGCAGUAAGUUAAAACCUUGCUGUUUUGACGUUACCGACAGAAUAAGCACCGGCUAACUCUGUGCCAGCAGCCGCGGUAACAC
rnacentral:rRNA from 1 species